GAUGAACGCUAGCGGCAGGCUUAAUACAUGCAAGUCGAGGGGCAGCAUAGUGUAGCAAUACAUGGGUGGCGACCGGCAAACGGGUGCGGAACACGUACAGAACCUUCCUUCGAGCGGGGAAUAGCCCAGAGAAAUUUGGAUUAAUACCCCAUAGGAUAGUGGAGUGGCAUCACUCAGCUAUUAAAGAUUUAUCACUUGAAGAUGGCUGUGCGUCUGAUUAGGUAGUUGGCGGGGUAACGGCCCACCAAGCCAGCGAUCAGUAACUGGUGUGAGAGCACGACCAGUCACACGGGCACUGAGACACGGGCCCGACUCCUACGGGUGGCUG
rnacentral:rRNA from 1 species